rnacentral:rRNA from 2 species
GUGGGGAAUAUUGCACAAUGGGGGAAACCCUGAUGCAGCGACGCCGCGUGGAGGAAGAAGGUCUUCGGAUUGUAAACUCCUGUUGUUGAGGAAGAUAAUGACGGUACUCAACAAGGAAGUGACGGCUAACUACGUGCCAGCAGCCGCGGUAAAACGUAGGUCACAAGCGUUGUCCGGAAUUACUGGGUGUAAAGGGAGCGCAGGCGGGAGAACAAGUUGGAAGUGAAAUCCAUGGGCUCAACCCAUGAACUGCUUUCAAAACUGUUUUUCUUGAGUAGUGCAGAGGUAGGCGGAAUUCCCGGUGUAGCGGUGGAAUGCGUAGAUAUCGGGAGGAACACCAGUGGCGAAGGCGGCCUACUGGGCACCAACUGACGCUGAGGCUCGAAAGUGUGGGUAGCAAACAGGAUUAGAAACCCCAGUAGUCC